rnacentral:tRNA from 1 species
CCAUGGGUGGUUCAGUGGUAGAAUACUCGCCUGCCACGCGGGCGGCCCGGGUUCGAUUCCCAGCCGAUGCA